AGAGUUUGAUCAUGGCUCAGGAUGAACGCUAGCUACAGGCUUAACACAUGCAAGUCGAGGGGAAACGACAUCGAAAGCUUGCUUUUGAUGGGCGUCGACCGGCGCACGGGUGAGUAACGCGUAUCCAACCUGCCCACCACUUGGGGAUAACCUUGCGAAAGUAAGACUAAUACCCAAUGACGUCUCUAGAAGACAUCUGAAAGAGAUUAAAGAUUUAUCGGUGAUGGAUGGGGAUGCGUCUGAUUAGCUUGUUGGCGGGGUAACAGCCCACAAGGCGACGAUCAGUAGGGGUUCUGAGAGGAACGGUCCCCCACAUUGGAACUGAGACACGGUCCAAACUCCUACGGGAGCA
rnacentral:rRNA from 1 species